AGUGAACGCUGGCGGCAUGCCUUACACAUGCAAGUCGAACGGGAACGGGCCUUCGGGUGCCGCCGAGUGGCGUACGGGGGAGUAAUACAUCGGAACGUGCCCGAUCGUGGGGGAUAACGAGGCGAAAGCUUUGCUAAUACCGCAUACGAUCUACGGAUGAGAACAGGGGACUGCAAGGGCUCUGGCGGUCGGAUCGGCCGAUGGGAGGGUAGGGAGUUGGUGGGAUAAAAGGUUACCAAGACGACGAUCUGUAGCUGGGACGGGAGGAUGAGACGCCACACUGGCACGGAAACAGGGCCCAGACUCCUACGGGAGGCAGCAGUGGGGAAUUUUGGACAAUGGGCGCAAGCCUGAUCCAGCCAUGCCGCGUGCAGGAUGAAGGCCUUCGGGUUGUAAACUGCUUUUGUACGGAACGAAAAGCCUUCUUUUAAUACAGGAGGGUCAUGACGGUACCGUAAGAAUAAGCACCGGCUAACUACGUG
rnacentral:rRNA from 1 species